rnacentral:rRNA from 1 species
CAAGCGACUAUCGUGCAUAUCAAUAAGCGGAGGAAAAGAAACUAACUAGGAUUCCCUCAGUAACGGCGAGUGAAGCGGGAAGAGCUCAAAUUUGAAAUCUUCAAGGUUCUACCUUGACGAAUUGUAGUUUAAAGAAGUGUUUUCUGUUGGAGUUUUGGUAAAAGUUCUUUGGAAUAGGACAUCAUAGAGGGUGAGAAUCCCGUAUUUGACCAUUAUUUUCAGCUGUGUGAUACACUUUCAAAGAGUCGGAUUGUUUGGGAAUGCAGUCCAAAAUGGGUGGUAAAUUUCAUCUAAAGCUAAAUAUUGGCGAGAGACCGAUAGCGAACAAGUACCGUGAGGGAAAGAUGAAAAGAACUUUGAAAAGAGAGUUAAACAGUACGUGAAAUUGUCAAAAGGGAAGCGUUUGACACCAGUGUUGUUUUCUCCGAAAAUCAAUUAAAAAAGGCCGGAUUUUGUGUUGUAUUGACCUUAAAAGCUUUCUUCACUCUUUUCUUGUCUUUUUUAAUGCACUUUUCGUUUAACAAGUCAACAUCAGUUUCUUUUGUUGUAAAAGGGUCAUUGGAAGGUGGCUUUCUUUUCGGAGAAAGUGUUUAUAGCCUUUGCUCUCUGCAAUCGGAGAGAUUGAGGUCUGCAGCGUAGACUCCUUCGGGGUUAGAUACAUUUGUGCUAAGCUGAUAGCCUUUUCAUAGACAACUUGUUGACUAUGAUCAGUCAUGUAGCUUACUUGCUUAUGUCUAUUUUACCUACGCUUAGGAUGUUGAUAUGCAUGACUGAUAU